rnacentral:rRNA from 1 species
GAUUAACGCUGGCGGCGUGCCUAAUACAUGCAAGUCGAACGGACCUUUAUUUUGAGAAUCCCUUUAUGGGGCGUCUCAUAAUACUGGUUAGUGGCGGACGGGUGAGUAACACGUUGGUACCUGCCCUCUAGUGGGAAUAACUGGCCGAAAGGUCGGCUAAUACCGCAUGUGGUCUACGGAUCAAAGCAGCAAUGCGCUAGAGGAGGGGCCUGCGUCUGAUUAGCUAGUUGGAGUGUAAUGGACUACCAAGGCGACGAUCAGUAGCUGGUUCGAGAGGAUGACCAGCCACACUGGGACUGAGAUACGGCCCAGACUCCUACGGGAGGCAGCAGUAAGGAAUCUUCCACAAUGGACGAAAGUCUGAUGGAGCAACGCCGCGUGCAGGAUGACGGCCU